CAGUGCUGCAGCUAACGCAUUAAGUAUUCCGCCUGGGGAGUGCGACCGCAAGGUUGAAACUCAAAGGAAUUGACAGGGGCCCGCACAAGCGGUGGAGCAUGUGGUUUAAUUCGAAGCAACGCGAAGAACCUUACCAGGUCUUGACAUCUUCUGCCAGGCUGAGAGAUCAGCUGUUCCCUUCGGGGACAGAAUGACAGGUGGUGCAUGGUUGUCGUCAGCUCGUGUCGUGAGAUGUUGGGUUAAGUCCCGCAACGAGCGCAACCCUUAUGUUCAGUUGCCAGCAUUCAGUUGGGCACUCUGGACAGACUGCCGGUGACAAACCGGAGGAAGGCGGGGAUGACGUCAAAUCAUCAUGCCCCUUAUGACCUGGGCUACACACGUGCUACAAUGGGUGGUACAACGAGCAGCGAGACCGCGAGGUCAAGCGAAUCUCUAAAAACCAUCCUCAGUUCGGAUUGCAGGCUGCAACUCGCCUGCAUGAAGCUGGAAUCGCUAGUAAUCGCGGAUCAGCACGCCGCGGUGAAUACGUUCCCGGGCCUUGUACACACCGCCCGUCACACCAUGAGAGUUUGUAACACCCAAAGCCGGUGGGACAACCGUAAGGAGUCAGCCGUCUAAGGUGGGACAAAUGAUUAGGGUGAAGUCGUAACAAGGUAACC
rnacentral:rRNA from 1 species